rnacentral:rRNA from 1 species
AUUGAACGCUGGCGGCGUGCCUAAUACAUGCAAGUAGGACGCAGUUGCGAACGGGUGAGUAACGCGUAGGUAACUGCCUAUUAGAGGGGGAUAACUAUUGGAAACGAUAGCUAAUACCGCAUACUAGUAGAUGGACCUGCGUUGUAUUAGCUAGUAGGUAGGGUAAUGGCCUACCUAGGCGACGAUACAUAGCCGACCGGCGAGGGUGAUCGGCCACACUGGGACUGGGGAACGGCCCAGACUCCUGCGGGAGGCAGCAGUAGGGAAUCUUCGGCAAUGGGGGGAAACCUGACCGAGCAACGCCGCGGGAGUGAGGAAGGUUGUCGGAUCGUAAAGCUCUGUUGUUAAGGAAGCGGUACUUAACCAGAAAGGGACGGCUAACUACGUGCCAGCAGCCGCGGUAAUUC